rnacentral:tRNA from 1 species
GUCUCUGUAGCAUAACGGAUAGCGCGUUGGACUUCUAAUCCAAAAGUCGUGGGCUCGAAUCCCGCCUGGGAUG